GUGAGGGGCACAGGCUGAGGUAAAGAGUGGGAGGGAGUUUGGAGUUUAAAUUCAAGUCAAAAUCAGAAUUAUGUAGACUACUAUUGUGGUUUCAUGUGGUUUUCUAGAUAACUAGAAAACUAUAACAAAACAUAGCUAAAAUACAGCUGCAAGGAUUUCCUAAAGGAAAAAAAUGAGUAAUUUUUCUAUGUUCUACCCUUUUUAUCUGAAUAAAUGAUACCUGUUUCUUGAACAGAUGGGUACAAUUGUAAGAAUAAAUUAUUCUCAGCCUUUAACAUUAAGUAAAAAGAGUUUUAAUCUAUAUGACCCUUAAUAAUAAAAAAACAGAAAAUGGGGUCAGGGAGGGGGUUUCAAGUCUCACAACCCAAGUUUGAUCCCUGGGACCCACAUGAUGGAAAGAGGGAACCAACUCCUGCAAGUUGUCCUCUGACUUUCACAUGUGUGCCGUGACAUAUGUGUCCCCCCCAUAAAUCAAAAUCUAGAAAUUGCAUGUGUGUGUGUCUAUGUACCAAACAUAAUCAAAUAAAAAGAGGCGAUCCACUUGAGGGGGGUAUUACAGGGGUUUGAUGGAGGGUAGCUGAGAGGGGUAGGAGGGGGGGAAGGCAGGGGGAAGUGUUUUCAAUUAAAACCUUCUUUUUUUAAGAAAACAAAAUAGACAAGAGGAGUCGGGAGCUGGAGCUGGAGCUGGAGUUUAGGUGACGGAGCGUUUGCCUAACAUGCAUGAAGUCCUGGGCUUGAUCCCCAGUACUGCAUCCCCCUGGCCAUGAUGGCACAGGCCCGGAAUCCCAACACUUGAAAGACAGAAGCAAGGAGAGCAGAAGUCGGCUGCACAGCAAAGGUCAGGCCGGCCAGAGCUCCAUGAGAUGCAGUCUCAUGUACAGAGUCCAGGAGCAUGCCUGGGGCAUUGUAGGCAUCUCUUAAAUGAGUCAGACAAGCUGGUCACAACCUGGGGGUAAAAAAUAAACCUUACAUGACAGCCAUAGUAACUACAGCAACUACUGGCUACAACUAUAUAUUUUGAUAAAGCACAAGGAUUCUUAAAAUUGUUUAAAGUAUAUUUAUAUUUGUGGAACAAGAGUAUCUGCAUUUGUAGAGAGAACAUCAUCUGUCAGGAAAGAAAAUGUCUAGUUCCCUAAGGCUUCAGGUAACAUGUUGGAUGUUGUGUGGCCACAAGCUGCUUUCUAAGGUGUCUCCAGACCAAAGAAAGGGGAGGUGCACUCAUAGCCUAAAAUAGCAUCACCAUAUUGCUAUCCUCGUUCAACUACAUGGUCAAGGAGCCUCUGUGGGGAGAACCCCAGACUGUUAGAAAUACUGGUGCUCUCACCCCGGGCACUGCUGGUGGUUUUUUAGCUCCUUACUUCACCGAGGCACGGGGAUGCCACACUUAUUAUGUUGUCUUGGUAAUAGGCAAAAGGAGUCACUUUUCGGUAAAAUGGCAAAUGCCACAAGCAUGCCAUUCACGCAGGGUCCCUCAUUUGUUUUGCUUAAGGUGGCCAGAGUGUGACGACAUGCUCAGGCUUCGACGGCACAGGCAACAGGCCAGGCCAGGAUUUCCGCAGAGGCGCCAUCAGCAGCAUGGGUGAGGUGGAUAAGAGGCAGAGAGUCCACUACAACUCAAACCACUGGAAUCCUACUUCAACGGCGGGGCUGGAAUCUGUACUAACGAGGAGCACCAUCCCAUCCCAGGUGAUCCUCGGGUCCAGCGACAUUUUAGAGCCACUGAACUAGGAGAGAGGUCAGAAGAACUUAAGAAAACGCAGACAGAGAGAGGCAUGAAGGAACUGGGCACACGCCUUUCUACAGGUUGAGGUGAUACGCAGAUCUGUCUUAAUCCAUUUUCCUAGAGGUACAGUCACUGUUGACGAAGUACGGAUUAAUUACUUUAUGGAAAAUUUCGGACAAUAAUAGAGCCAGCAGCACAUGUGGAAACCGCUGCGAUCUCAAGACUC